rnacentral:rRNA from 1 species
CACGUGGGAACGUACCCUUCAGUUCGGAACAACCCAGGGAAACUUGGGCUAAUACCGAAUACGUCCGUAAGGAGAAAGAUUUAUCGCCGAAGGAUUGGCCCGCGUCCGAUUAGCUAGUUGGUGAGGUAAUGGCUCACCAAGGCGACGAUCGGUAGCUGGUCUGAGAGGAUGAUCAGCCACAUUGGGACUGAGACACGGCCCAAACUCCUACGGGAGGCAGCAGUGGGGAAUAUUGGACAAUGGGCGCAAGCCUGAUCCAGCCAUGCCGCGUGAGUGAUGACGGCCCUAGGGUUGUAAAGCUCUUUCACCCACGACGAUAAUGACGGUAGUGGGAGAAGAAGCCCCGGCUAACUUCGUGCCAGCAGCCGCGGUAAUACGAAGGGGGCUAGCGUUGUUCGGAUUUACUGGGCGUAAAGCGCGCGUAGGCGGAUCUUUAAGUCAGGGGUGAAAUGCCGAAGCUCAACUUCGGAACUGCCUUUGAUACUGGAGAUCUUGAGUUCGGGAGAGGUGAGUGGAACUGCGAGUGUAGAGGUGAAAUUCGUAGAUAUUCGCAAGAACACCAGUGGCGAAGGCGGCUCACUGGCCCGAUACUGACGCUGAGGCGCGAAAGCGUGGGGAGCAAACAGGAUUAGAUACCCUGGUAGUCCACGCCGUAAACGAUGGAUGCUAGCCGUUAGGCAGCUUGCUGCUUAGUGGCGCAGCUAACGCUUUAAGCAUCCCGCCUGGGGAGUACGGUCGCAAGA